rnacentral:lncRNA from 1 species
CUGAAAUGGCUAUGAAAACAACCGUCUGCUUCUGGGCUGUUCUACGGCUGCUCUCAGGAGAGAGCAGUGCAACUUCACAGUGCAGCAAGACUGGAGAAAAUGUGUACCUGCAUCUACAGAAUGAAAACCCAGAUUUUACUGAUUUAAGAUGGGUAUAUCAUGACGAAGUAAUAGGCAAAAUUUUAAAAAAUUUCAGCAGCAGCAUUUUACAAAAUUUUAAGUCAUCGACUGAACUUUUGCAAAACGGGACCCUUAAAAUCACCAACAUCCAGACAAACUGGAGUGGAGAAUUCACUGCAACUGGUUUCAGUGAAAGAGGAGUAAAUAAUGUGAAAGAGACGCAUCACCUGAUUGUAGUCGAUGCUCCAGUGGUUGAAUCUUUUCUAUGUGUCGAUGGAAAAAUGAUGUUUUACUGUGCAGAUGAAAAUGGC